rnacentral:lncRNA from 1 species
CUCUGAAAAGGAUUGAACACCAUCCUGGGAGUUUCAAAAUCCCUGUGGGAGAAUCAAGGUCCAGCUGGAUGGUUUAAAUGAGAGCAAAAUGAAAGCUAAGUUUUCCUGCACACUUUUCAUUUCUAGCUGGCUAAGUGUUUAAUUGUUUGUAAUGAUUGUUUAGGUCAUGUAGUUGCAUGUGUAAUAGUCUUAACUUCUUUGGGGUUCUGUCUUGGUUGUUUGUUGGUUUAUCCACAAGCUCAUAUAAAAAUAGGUUCAAUUAUCAUAUGACUGUUUGUCACCUAUCUGAAAGCCUUUCUUGUGUAAUACUGAUAUCUUGCUAAGUAUUGGCCCUCUGAUUUUAGAAAGCAAUUUUGUUGAGUCUUCAGUAAUAUGAUUUAAAGGCUCAGUUGACUUCCUUCUGCUGAUUUUCUUUAAUUUCUGGUGUGCUUAGUUGACUCAUGUUCCUAAGGUUUUUAUUCAUCAGCUGAUUGUUCAUUUUUGCUUCUUGUUCUUAAGUAUUUCUGAAUAUCAUUCAUUGAAUCAUGUUUGAAGCUAAGUUUGAUAUAUAUAUAUAUAUAUAUAUGCAUUCUUUCUGGAUAUUUGAUUCCUUGUUCUGUUAAUCCUGUAUAGAAGUCUGUUAAUUUUUGGUUAAUUCUGAUUUUCACGAGUCUGCUAAUCUAAAUUUGACCCAUGUUUGGUCGACCAAGGUUGAUUGUGUUCGAAUUGGAGUCAAAGAACUAACCAAGGUUAAUUAGAGCUGAACCAAGGUUAAAAGAACUAACUGGGGUCAAAUUCAGGGGUAGGGCAAUUUAGGAAAUCUAGUAAGGGUACAAAAGGAAUUGGAGUCUUUUAACAUCUAAUAACAGUAUUUUAGAACCUUCUAGUAGGGACUAAUAUAUAACUCCAGCCUCAAACUUGAGGCACAAGUUAAGAAUUGAAGGACUACUUAGGCAAAAAUACAAUUUGAGAUGAGGACUAAAAAGAAACUAGUAAAAAUCGGAUGCCCUAACUGUUUUGCUAUAAUUUAAACCAUUUGGGGGCAUUGAAAAGGAUCCAGAAACCUUUAUCUUUAACACUAGAGCUGGAAAUUUCCAUCGGAGCUUUCCAGCUCUGCUGAAAUCUGGAAAUAUUGUUUUAUUGGCUGUUGGUUGCUUAGGUGAUCCUUUCUAUUUACUCAUAGGUUGUUUCAUUUGCUGCAUUACAGGUACCCUUUAAAGCUCAUGUAUAUGUGAAGUUCAAAGUAAAAUAUACUUUCAAAUGUGAAGAACCCAUUGUCAUUUACAUUCUCUUGUUAUUCUUAUUUCCCCCAUUUCCCUAUUUAAUCCUGAAUGAGUUUAGUAAUAGAAUGAUCCUCAUGUUGUAGUUAACGUUAGCAUGAUCUAUUUUGUAAUAACUGGAUAUUUUGGGACUGUUUUUUAUGUGUAAUAAUGGGGCUUUCAGUUCAAAUUUUGUAUAUGCUUGGGUAGUAGUCAAUUUCAAUUUCAGUCUUGUGGGCUCAAGUGCUGAAUUUGUGCACUUAGAGCUACCAGACCUGGAAAGUAGUAUAGUCCAUAGUUUUAAAUCUCAUAAUGUUUAAUAAUAACUUAUUUUAGAUUUUGUUUCAUAUAGUAGGACCUGAAAAAAUGUAAUUGAAUUUUGGAAAAUAGAUUCAUAUACUCUAACUGAUGAGUAUAUGAAUCGUAUGAUUCAAAUUUGAUGUUGGAAAGGUAGUACAAAUAUAGUUGUUAUUAUUUCCUUCAUGAAUGGGUAAAGAAUCAAUUCUAUGUACAUGAUUUCAGACGAAACUGUUGUCAGGCAUUGGACUCUUUGGUUCAAAUCAGUACCGGGCUCAUAUGUAUGGCACAGUAGGCAUCUAAAUGCUGAAAUCUGAUACGUUUCCUAGGCUAGGUGAUUAACAGCUCAAACCGGUCAAAAAUGGUUAAAAAUUGCAGCCUGAGCAACAAGUGCUCCAGGGCUGUCCCAAAGUUUGAUUUAUUUAUAUGUCCAUUGGCCAUGAACGAGGCUAAGGCACAAAUAAUGUUUCCCAAGCACCAAGUUUAUACAUAAAACAAUUAGCGCAUUUAAACACUCGCAAGAGUCAAAAUUUAGCAUAUGUUAGAAUGCCUUUAUAAAAAUAAAAACGAGCCAUGUUAAUUCAAACAGAUACAUAUGAUGGUUCCUUACCCUAUCAAGACCCAUAGAAAAGGAAGUGUCGUUUAGCAAAUUUCACGGCCUUCCUGCGAAUGUCAAAGACGCAGUUGGUAUAGGCGCGCAUUCUAAAAAAAUACUUUCCUAAAUAUGGGAGAACAUUUAUGUGACCUAAUGUCAAAGACGUAGUUGUUAUAGGCGCACAUUCUAAAAACAUACCUUCCUAAAUUUGGGUGCGCAUUUAUGUGAUCCAAAUCCAAAUCUCAACGAAGAUGGAAUGUGUCAAAUCCAUGGGUGCAUUUAUGUGACGUGGUUUGAGGCGUGUUCUAACGACGUUGCAAUUCUAUUGAAAAUAAUGAUAAAAGCGAUUUAAGGUUAGAAAGCACAUAAGUUAAACAAGUUCUAAAAUCAGAUAAUUUAAGCCAAAUAUGACAGUUGAGUGACCGUGCUAGAACCACGGAACC